GAUCCUGGCUCAGGAUGAACGCUGGCGGCGUGCUUAACACAUGCAAGUCGAACGGGAAACCUUUUAUUGAAGCUUCGGCAGAUUUAGCUGGUUUCUAGUGGCGGACGGGUGAGUAACGCGUGGGUAACUUGCCCUAUACAGGGGGAUAACAACCAGAAAUGGUUGCUAAUACCGCAUAAGCGCACAGGACCGCAUGGUCCGGUGUGAAAAACUCCGGUGGUAUAGGAUGGACCCGCGUUGGAUUAGCCAGUUGGCG
rnacentral:rRNA from 1 species